rnacentral:rRNA from 1 species
AGAGUUUGAUCCUGGCUCAGAGCGAACGCUGGCGGCAUGCUUAACACAUGCAAGUCGCACGGUCGGGCUUCGGUUCGGCAGUGGCGGACGGGUGAGUAACGCGUAGGUAUCUGUCUAGGGGUGGGGGAUAACGCUGGGAAACUGGUGCUAAUACCGCAUGACACCUGAGGGUCAAAGGCACGCAAGUGUCGCCUGUGGAG